CUGACGUUUUUGUUUCGGCUCUCUGUCCUCCGAUGGCCCUGACAGGAUUAUAAAUACACCCACAAUGCACUGCACGUACACCCGUGCUCGAGCCAAUCUCUCAUGUAGUAUUGAUGUUGCACAUCUCACAGCUGCACGUUCCAAACAUACCCGCUCCUGAGAUAAAUAGCAUGUAUCAAGGCCUUGGGAGAGAAAAGAUGGGUGGAUAUUGAGCUGAACAAAUAAAAAAAAAAAAGAGUAGGGGAACCUGAUCGAAAGUGACAGAAGGACUGAGUGAAAGAGGCAGAUGAGUACAGAGGGGUGAAGCGUGUGUGACGGUGAUACGCGAGAGUGUGUAAAGUGGAGUUGUGGUGUAUUCGGUACGGCAGGUCUGAUGCACAAUAAUAAUCGAUAAGGCUCUGGAGAUGUCACGGGGCUCGCUAAUGCGUUUGUCUGUUUUAGCUAAGAUGUGAGAAAAUGUCUUUCCCUGCUGUAGUAAUGACACCGAGGGAAAAAAAAACCCCAACACGUUAUGUAAAUUGUGCGGGAGUGUAAAAAAAAAAAAAAAAGAUAGCUCUAAUUUUAAAGCACUGCACUUGUUUAAGUUUCAGAUUUCUACCUGAUCCAGCACUGAGAUUUAAACCUGCUGCACGGUGAAGUUAUUGUAGGAGAACUGAAGGAAUAGUCCAGCGGGUUAUCUUUACCGACUGAGAGAGGAGAACAACACAAACAACUACUUCCAGCUUCCUUUCACUGAGGAAAACGACAUCUGUUAAACCGAAACAUCUGGAUAACGAGCGUCUAAACCAGUGUUUUUAAUGACUUGAUGACAGGAAAUCUUCAGUCACGUGGUAUCUUUGUAUAUGUGUGUGUGUGUGUGUGUGUGUGAGUGUGCAUGUAUAAGCUCAUUAAAACUGCUGUUUGUCUCUUACACAUUCAGAAAGCUGAGUGAACGUGCCUGUUUUAUACUAAGAGAGCUGCACCGUGUGUGUGUGUGUGUGUGUGUGUGUGUGUGCGUGCGUGCGUGCGUGUGUGUGUACGGUACCCCUGUGACUGUUUUCUCUACUCUGAAAGCACAGAGAAUGGGAUCAGGAGGAGGCUCAGCACUAAUGAAGCACGACUCCACACCAUGAGAAAGUGACAGAGGGAUAAAACACAGGUGUCCUUGCUCCUUUCUCAACUGUGGAUUUCUAUAGAGCUCUGUGAGUGUCUGUGUGUGUGUCUGUGAGUGUCUGUGAGUGUCUGUGUGUGUGUCUGUAUGUGUCUGAGUGUUUGUUUGUGUCUGUGAAUGUCUGUAUGCGUCUGUGAGUAUCUGUAUGUGUCUGUGUGUAUCUGUUUGAGUGUCUGAUAGUCUGUGAAUUUCUGUGUGUAUCUGAGUGUCUGUGAGUGUCUGUAUCGGUCUGUGUGUAUCAGUUUGAGAGUCUGUGAGUGUCUGUGUGUAUCAGUUUGAGUGUCUGUAUGUGUCUGUGUGUAUCAGUUUGAGUGUCUGUGUGUAUCUGUUUGAGUGUCUGUAAGUGUCUGUGUGUAUCAGUUUGAGUGUCUAUGAUAGUCUGUGAGUGUCUGUGUGUAUCAGUUUGAGUGUCUGUGUGUAUCAGUUUGAGUGUCUGUGUGUAUCUGUUUGAGUGUCUGUGUGUAUCUGUUUGAGUGUCUGUAUGUGUCUGUGUGUA
ensembl:lncRNA